rnacentral:lncRNA from 1 species
AUUUUCUAGGGUUGUACCGUGGCACAUGGAGGUUCCCAGGCUAGGGGUCCAAUAGGAGCUGUAGCCACCAGUCUACACCAUAGCCACAGCAAUGCAGAAUCCAAGGUGUGUCUCUGAUCUACACCACAGCUCACAGCAAUGGCGGAUCAUUAACCCACAGAGUAAGGCCAGGGAUUGAAUCCACAACCUCGUGGUUCCUAGUUGGAUUUGUUAACCACCGAGCCGUGACGGGAACUCCUACUUUCUUUUACAAAGACAUCAAUAUUUAUGAUCUCACUGGUUUCACUAAUUCAACUAUCAUUUAGUGAACACCUACCUUGUGACAAGUUAUGCUAUAAGUACUGAAGAUAAAAAAUUAAAUAACACUCUGUCUUUUCCUCACACUAGAUGGUAGGUGCUCUCCUCAGAGCCUGCUGCAUCCCUCAGGGCCCCAGAGAUGCUGAUUUCUGAGUCCUCACUUCCUUAGGAGGGUAAUGUUCCCCUUGCCUUCCUUGCCUUUCAGGAUUAGAAGAUUGAGUUAUGGAGAUCUGAGUUCUGGUCUCUCUGGCAUCAGGCCAUUCUGAAAGGUCCUUUCCUUUCAGGCAGAAAACCGACAAAGUCAGGCACUUUGCUCUGAGGCUUUCAUUUGCGUUUCUAAGUUGAUUGCCUAAAACUCAGACCGCUUUCCCUGUGGGGAGAGGGAUGGACUGGGCUUCUUAAAGUGUGUGUGUGUGUGUGUGUGUGUGUGUGUGUGUGUGUGCGCGCGCGCGCGUGUGAGAAGAGAGGGCAGAGUGUGGGUGGGGUAAUAGGACCCUGUGUCCUUCUUUGAUGUUGUCCCCUUAGGGAGCCCUUAUUAGAGCCUUCUCUAGCCUUCUUCUCUCUAGUCCCUUGUAACUAGCUUCACCUCUGUCACUUUCUCCUUUCACUCCACUGGCCUCCAAGGUGUUUAGCCAGCCAAGCUUGCUCCCUCCUUAUGGCCUUUAUGUUCUGUGUCCCUUCUGUGUGGGCCACUCUCCCCUGAGUCAUGAGGUUAACCUCUGACUUCCUUCAGGUCUUUACUCACCUUCUCUGUGAGGCCUUCCAUGGCCACUCUUUCAAAACUGUCAGCCUUUCAUCUCGAUGCUCUAUACAUUUCCCUGCUCUACUAUGUCUCCUGAGCACUCGCUAUUGUUUACUUAAUUUCUGCUAGAAACAGAGCGGAAUGGACAAUAAAAGACAGAUAAUCUCCAGGGGAACAUGGAUUUUUGUCUGUUUGUUUCUUUCUUUUUUUUCUUUUUACAGCUGCACCUGUGGCACAUGGAAGAUCCAGGGCUAGGGCCUGAAUCAAAGCUGCAGCUGAGCCCUAUGCCACAGCCAUGGCAACAUCUAAAACCUGUGCUGCAGCUUAUGGCAGUGCUGGAUCUUUAACACAGUGAGUGAGGCUAGGGUUCAAACCUGCAUCCUUACAGAGACUGUGCUGGGUCCUUAACUCCCUGAGCCACAAUAGGAACUCCUGUCUGUUUUUUUCAUACUCUGUCUUAUAGAAUAGUUCUUUGUACAUGGUACAUUCUUUAGUAAGUAUUUGUUAAGUGAAUGAAUAAUGACAAAAUUCCCUAAGUCUCAGCUAGACAAAUAGGAAGUAUAAUCUCCUUCAUUUAAAUUGAUCAUAUGAUUUGGACAAUUGGAAUUUCAGUAGAAAUUCUUGACUUUAGGAUUGAAGACUCCCCUAAGCUUGUUGGCUAGUAUAGGGAAUCUUAGUAACAAAGGGCAUAAAGUCACAUAGUUUAUGAUAGUUUUAAUCAUAGUUUAUGAUUUUUUGAAGAUGAAGGAGAUGUGGCAUUUCUUGCAUCACAAUGUUUUGAGCAAAGUGUAGCCAGUUCACCUUGAGUGUGCACAAAAGCCAGCCUUGCCGCCUCCUGCUAGCUUUUGUCGGUGCAAGUAUGCCUGGCAGUUUGACUUGAGAAUGGCAUUAAGGACUUGCCAUGGUGCUGACAUGAGAAGUGAGAAAUGGCAAGUGCAUGGAACUAGCACAGGGAGCAAAGGGUCAGUGUUUCAAUACCAGCCAUGGCUUAGUUGAUAAGAUACUGCAAAUGAGUACUUCAUGUGUGUGUGUGAGUCUCUGUGUGUCACAUAAGAAGCAUAUAUUGUGUUAUGUGCACAAUGGCCAGUGAAUUUGAUGCCUCUGUUAUGGAUGCUAUUGGAUGUGUCAGCACUUCUUCCAUUCCCUUCUGUCUUGAGGUGUGUGGAAAUUUCUCCUGUGCCAUCCUUUACUUUGAUAAAGGAAUUGAAAAUAAGGUCUCCUCUCUUUGCUUUUGACUUCUCCAUUCAUAUAAUUGGUUUUCCUCCUUUGCUCAGUGCUCCCUAUGGUCACAUCAUAUUACAAAUUAUUAUAUAAUAAAAGUUGUUGCCUUGUAUUUUCUUUCCUACCUGUUUCCUACAGAACUUGGGAGAAAUAAAAGGAAUUGACCCAGGUUAAGAUGACAAAAAUAAUUAUCCCUCGUUUAAAAGAAGAAAAGUUUACAUUAAUAGACUAAUUCAAAUUUAUUUAAUUUUGCACAGAAUUAAAAAAAGCAUCUCACUGAAAAGUAACAUGAAAAAGAAUAUUAAAAUUCUUGAUAAGUUAAGGGGUUAGAAACUACCAUUUAUUGACUAUGUAUAGGGUACCAUCUAGAAAUUCAGUAACUGAGCUGAGAAAUUGAUGUUAUCCCAUUUUACAGGGAAAGAAACCAAGCUUCAGGGAUGUUAAUAAAUGCUAAGGACAUAUUAGUAGGAAGUGGGAGAGGCUGGAUUUGUAUUUAGAUGUGUCUGAUUCCAACCAAACUUUACUAUGCUGGUUUCCAACUGUCUUUAAAUUCAGAGUGUUCUUAAAAUUUCAGUACUGUACAUUCUAAAUUGAAAGCACUGUAUUUCAUUUCUAAGUAAGAUCAUCUUUUCCCUUUGCCAGAAAUAAUAUCUUUGAUUGCUCUAGCGCUUGGUUUGUAUGAAUUGCUUUCCUUGUUUUCUCAAUGCCAUGCAGGGAUUUAAAGUUCCUUGCUGUUAAAAACAGAGAUGAGUUACCUCAUUUUUGAAAUUCCUACACUGAGUUUCAAAAGCAAAAACAUGUCAUUAGGAGCUUAGGCUCAGAAUCUGAAUUUCAUCUUCUCUGCUUACUUACUGCAUAAUAGUGGCCACAUUCCUUAAUUAGGCUGUACCUCAAUAUCUCUAUCUGUAAAACAGAGGUAAUAUCAUCAAUAUAAAGAUUAAAAUAGUUAAUGUGUUAAUACAAUUAAAGUGCUUUUAAACAGAGCCUGACACACAAACAUCACCAAUAAAAUUUUUAUUUCUACCCAGGCAUGGCAAUCAUAAAGAGACAAUCAUUUUCAUUUUCUGGAACAUAGGAUAUUAGUUUCCUAAGGAUCCUUUCCUUCCAUGUCUUCCUGUUAACUAUCUGCUAGGGUUAUGCCAGCUGCGCAUGGUGCUUUUUCACUCAAGAGGAAGACAUCUGAAAAUAGGCCUGUCUGUCUCUUUUAUUUUUAAAUUCAUACAUUUGUAAUGAAAAAAGCAAACUGAUCAUCAUUGGAGGAUCUUAGUGGACCAACUCAGUAUUUUGAAAAUUGGUCAGUACAGCAACAUACUAAAGGCCUAUCCUUCAUUUCCUGUGUGGACUGUCCUACUAGAUAAUCAAUAGUAGAAAAGGAAUUAUUUCUUUUCACAGAAGAGUGCAUGGAUCUAGGCAUUGGACAUCAAUACCCCUAAGAUCAAAGAGAGACAUAGAUAGAUAGACAGAUAGAUAGAUAUAUAGAUAGAUAGAUUAUGUGAUUCCAUUUAAUUGAACAUACCAUCAAUAAAGUAGUCUUAUUAAACACUAUAAUUUAUGGAGUUCCCAUUGUGGCUCAGCAAUAACGAACCUGAUUAGUAUCCGUGAGGACAUGGGUUCAGUCCCUAGCCUUGCUCAGUGGGUUAAGGAUCUGAUGCUGCUGUGAGCUGUGGUGUAGGUUGCAGACAUGGUUUAGUGUUGCUUAGGCUGUGGUGUAGGCAGGCAGCUUCAGCUCUGAAUUGACCACUAACGUGGGAACUUCCAUUUGACGUGGGUGCAACCCUGAAAAAAGAAAAGAAAAGGAAAAAAAAAAAAAAGAAAAAAAA